CGCUUGAAUCCACUCCGUCUACGGUGAGGGGCGCCGCCAUGUUGGAUUUGACGUCACUGUAGGAGGGCGGGGCCUUUAACUAUGAGGCGUUCAGGAACUAUCGAUGAUUUCACCGAGCAGAGCAUUUUUAAUUAUUUUGUGGAAGCUGAAUUAGUGAGGAUGACUCCUGCUCCUGUCAUCUCUAAGCUCCUCACACAUCUUUACCUGCACAUGAGGAAAAUCACUCCUGUAGAAUGCAGAUGUUCAGAGGGAGAUGAUGCCACAUCUGGUCCAGCUGAUGGAAGGUCUUGAAGUUCUCUGACUGGCCUCGACUGAAGAUGGUCCUCUCACUAUGUUUAAGGUUCAGAUGCUCAGUAACAAACUCCAACAAUGUGCCAACAGGGAAGCUUUAGGUUUAUUAAAUGUUGCUAUGAAGGUAUCGCUGUUUUUCUUUGUGAAUGCAAUGAGCUCCAACUGAAACUUGAAUUAGAACUUAGAAGUAAAUCCUUCCAUCUGAAAGGAUUUAGUUGCAUUAAUAACCUCAUAACAUUCUAGUUUUUAUUCCAGUCUUGGUUGGAAAUAGAAUCUCUGUAUUGAUUCAGGUAAAAACUGAACUUCACAGCAUGUUGAAGCAAAACAACCAGAUGAAAACUGUGAUGGUGUUGGAUUGUCAGACCGUAAUGUUGCAGCUCAAAGCAGCUUUUCUAGCUCAGUUCAUUCUGACAUUCAGCUAUGAAUCAACACAGCAGAUGGUGAUCCAUGCUGUGGAAGUCUCACAUCUCCUGAUUUAAUGGCGCUGCUUUGCACUUUUUACGCUGUUUAUUCACCAACACUUUAUUUAAUAAAAGUCCCAUCUAGUUUUUAUGAGGAAUGUGAUGUUUUAAUUUCUCUGUGAAUAACUGCAGUCUAAUGCAACAGCUGGAGUUGUAACAUCUGUCCUGAUAUUGAUCAUGAAGUAUUGAUCAGAAUACUUAUGGUUAGCAGUCAUCCCUGAAGUUUUACAUUAAAAUCUUUACUUGUGUUGUGAACUUUGAUAAGAAGCAGAAACAUUAGCGUUGCCAUGGAUACAUGAGUGUUAAAUUCUGUCCAUGUUUCCAUUUUGGGAAAUUCAGUCCAGUUCCAGAAUGUGGAGGAAUUUAGUCUCACAAUCACAGACAACAAAUAUUAUCUGAAAAUUGAGUUAUUGUUGUUUAUCAGCACAAUACAAAAAGAUUAAUGUUAGAAAUAUUCCAGUUAAGACUCUAGAAUAUCAUGAUUUAUGUAAAUUUACCUCAAUAAUAUGAAUGUUCAGGGAUAUUUAUUAUGUAAGUUCAGCUGAUUAAAGUUUAUGACUCCGCACUAAAAUAUUAUUUAAAUUGACAUCAUUAUUAUAAUAUUUAGGGUCAGACCCUACAGUAUUGAGAUUAAGAAAUCAAAUAUUCUAUAAAAUGUAAAUACACUGAACUCAUUGGGAUAUAUUUAAUUGAGACUCUACAAUAUUAUUUGACACAAAUCUAUCUAAAUCAAAAUUUUAAUAAUUUUCACGCCAAACAUUUACUGGACUGAUUUAAACAUUAAAAUCACUCCUUUCUAAUCCUCUGCUGUACGUUCAAAACUGAGGCCUUAAAUAGAAACACACAAGUAUCUGAUUGAAGGAACUUCUGCAGAGUCCUGGUUCCAGAACAUGAUGAUAAAAUUAUAGACAAACUUUAACAAAAGCUGCCUGAGAGUUUACAGGUUUUUAUGUUGGAUUUCUUCAGUAAUUUAAUGAGAGUUAUCAGCAAAAAUCAAGUGUUCAUUUGAUGAACUUGAGUUCCUAAAACAUCCAGAAUUUGAGCUCAUAUCUUUGACAGCUGUAAAGUUUCUGCUCCUUCAAAGUUCACAACACAAUGAAUGAAUUCCUAAAACACUCUCAAUGCUGGAGAGCGUUUGAUGCUGAAGCAGUGACCAGUUUUUCUGUUUCUUCUCUGGAGAUGCACAAUGAGGGACGUCUGCAGAGACUGAGAAAGAGUCUCACCUCAUCCUGACAUGAGGAAAAAGACUUUAUUGAAGACUACAAUGAGGAAAAACUAUCAGACAGCAGACGGCUGCAUUCAAGGCUACAGGAGGAGCCCUACGAGGACGAGCCGGUCCACCUGAUGGCGGCCAGUCGCUGCGGUUCAAAGCCAACACCGACUACAUGGACUUCUACUGGACCACACGGAGGCCUUCAAACCGGACCAACAAGUUCAGCGACUCCCCGACUCGUGGGUCUGAGGACGCCGCCGAGCCUCGGCCCAGCCGGCCUCCUGUCUGUGGGUGUUUGAGUGCUGAGAGGUUUGUGGAUGCAUGUGAACGUUCUGUGUUGAAACAGCAGCUUUGGACUCACUAACGCUGGGAAAAACCAAGAGCUCCUUUAUUUGUGACUUCCACUAAAAAAACUGAUGAAAAUAAGUUUGCCAGGGUUCUGACUGAUAACAGAUUAUUAAAUAAUGAAAAUAAUCAUUUAAAUAUUCCUUUAAACAAUCCUUUUAGGUCUACAUUUCCUUUACACUGAAUUCUUGGUAUAUGUAACAAGUAUUUUGGGUGGAAUAUACCAUUAAGCCGACUGUUCAAGGGUUUUUCUAGGGAUAUACCAUUAAACCAACCUUUUAGGUAAAUGUUCCAGGAUGUUGGGUAGAAUAUACCAUCAGAUAAACCUUUUAGGUCUACGUUGGAAGAUUUUAGAGUAGAAUAUUACUCCAAACCAUCCUUUAGGUCUACAUUUAAGGUGGAAUACUCCUUUACACCAAGAUUUUUUGGUCUAGGAUUUUGGAUGGAAUACUCGGUUAAACCAACAUUUUAGCUGCAUGUCCAAGGAUUUUUGGUGGAACGUUCCUUUAAGGUGGAUGUUUGAGGACCUUGUAGGUGGAAUACUUCCCGAAACCAACCUUUUAGGUCAACAUUCAAAGAUUUAAGGUGAAAUAUUCCUUUAAAUCAACCUAAAUUUCAUGUUUUGAUCAUUAUCAAGUGAGAAACCUCAAUGUAGACUCCUCAUAAUGACGUUUGAGAUUUAUGCUGCUGUUAUUUGUUUAGUCAAGACUAAAUGACAGAAAUCCACAACUGUAAUUUUAUUUAAGGACUCGGUUAUUAAAUGUCAAAACAAUCCAUGUGACUCUAAAAACUCAACAGCUUUACAAACUCUAAGAUUAAAUUUUCCACAAGGAUCCAAAACAAGUUGGACUUCUACAUGAGAGCUUUAAUUAUUCUUCAUCUACUUCCUGAAAAGUUUGGUCAAUAAAAAAAGACAAAAACUAAUAUUUUCAGCUGAACUAAAGACAGACUUUGCGAUUUUUCUGCUCACAUGUUGUGUUGUUGUAAACUUACUCUUUCAAAUAAAUAUCCUCCUAACCCCCUGGAAACCAGCGUUUGUCCUGUUUUUGUGUUGCUCCUCGGCGACCCUAGACAGCCGGGUCCUAAUGUUUUUUGAGCAACACACCAUACUAUGAUGUUUUUACAAUGAUGGUUCUACUAUGAAGCCAGUUUGACAUGUUCAGGUGUUCUUUGUGUGAAAACUCAGAGAUUUCAGGUAUCGGAAGGUGGUUUUUCAACUUUCUUUGUUAACUUUCUGCUUCAACUUUAAACUAAAUUUCCUUCACUAACCCAGCCCUCUGGACUUCCAGUAAGCUGUGUUCUUAUUGGCUGUCCAGGUGGCUGCUUGGUGUUAUCAGGAACACCUGAGCAGCUCAGUGUCUUCCUGCUUUAUUUAGCUGCAGUCAAACAUUUCUUCUGCUUCUCUUCACCACUGAACCGGGUUUGGCUUCAUUGCUUUAGUUUGUUCUUUAGGUGUUUGCUUGCAGCUUCCAGCAGUAAAAUCGUCUUUAAUGUGUUUCUUGGUGUGUUUUAGGGCUUUGUACUGGAUAGUUGUCUUGGUAAAUGUGGUUCUUUAGCCACAGUUAGCACAUGGUGCUACUGUGUGCAGUGAUUAGUGGAUUUGCUGCAGCUGAGUUGUGUCUUUAUCUUGGCUGUAGUGAGUCUUUAGAGGUUUUUGGUCAGAUACAUUCUGUAUUCUUGUUUGUGAACCAACGUUGGUUGUCCAGAAGGUAAGAGUUCCUGUCCUGAUUCUCUGUUCUCAGAGGUUCUCUGGUAGGCUGCAGGAGACUUUAGUGUUUGGGUUGUGCUAGUUUGGUUUUUGUACGGUUUCAUUUGGACGACUAUCUUGAGGCCCCUCUAUGUGGUUUAGUGAGGUUUUCUGCAACAGUUCUACAAAGCAACCUGCAGCAGAAGAGACUUUGAGAGUUUUUAGGAAGUUCUGGAGACCAGACUUUAGAGCAGCAGAAACAUUUGUCAGCAGUUUGAGCAGGAGAAGGUGAGCUUCAGAGUAGAAAUGAGACGGAAACCUUCUUGACCCGUGUGGUGAGGUCCUGUACCAAGAGUUUGAGCAGGUUGUGAAGAGUCUGUAGUUCUUUGGUCUGAAAGCACAAGAAGAGUCGACUCAUUAAAGGAGAAAACAGGAGAUAUUGUUGGUUCUUCUGUCACUCUGCAGUUUCCUUAGACUGAAUAUCAAGUUUAUAUUUUAAAUGAUUUCCCAUGUGAGCCCAAGAAGACUUCAAUAAACUCCAUCCAUCCCCU